UUGGCUGUUACUUUUUGCAGAUCAAGAGACGGCUGUGAGUUUCUUUGUUGGUUUUAAGUUCUUAGUGUUUAGCCCUGGGUAAACCUUGAUCCAGCCGAUCCAUAAUAAUCAAAGGGGUUAUGAUUUUGACCAUCUCGUCUCUUUUCCACAUGCAGAACAUGUAGGAUGCAUUGUCUAAGUUAUUCCUUUUUUCGGAAUACUUUAGAUGGUAGCAUGUGAUUUGAUUUGAAGGGGACUUGGCUGCUAUUUUUAGCAAGCUGAGAUUCGUUCUGGCGUUGCUCGAGCGUGCGGCGGUGGUGGUGAUGGAGACGACAGUGUAAGAGGUGGUGGUGGUGGUGGUGGUGGUGGUGAGGAUGUUAGAGCGUGUGUUGUAGGUGGGGGAGGGGUUGAUGGUGGUCGUAGUAGUAGUAGUAGCGGUGGUGGGAAGAGUAGCGAUGUUGGUGGUGGCAGUAGUGAUUGAUUGAGCGAGUGAUGAUAGCGGUGAUGGUGGUGGUGGUGGCCGUCGUCGUCGUUAUGCUGAGUGGGUGGUGGUGGCGGCGGUGAUGUUGUUAAGGCAGCUGAUAGCGGUAGUGGUGGUGGUGGUGGUGGAGUUAAGGCGGCUGAUAGUGGUUGGUGGUGGUGGUGGCGGUGGUGAUUGAUAGAGCGAGUGACGAUAGCGGUGAUGAUGGUGGUGGUGGUCGUCGUCGUGAUGCUGAGUGGGUGGCGGCGGUGAUGUUGUUAAGGCAGUUGAUAGCGGUAGUGGUGGUGGUGGUGGAGUUAAGGCAGCUGAUAGUGGUUGGUGGUGGUGGUGGUGUCGGUGGUGAUGGUGAUGGUCGUUGUUUGUUAGUGUUGAAGGUCAACGGUUGUUGGUGGUGGUGGUGAUGGUGUUAGGAGUGGUUGGUUGAAGGUCGUUUAUUUAUUAUAUGUACAUUCAUAUAGGUACCUACGCAUAUAUAUACUUACUAUACACACAUAAACCCAAUAUACAUACGUGUGUAUGUAUCUUGACAAUGUGUCCUUAUUUAAUUUAUCACUGUGUGGUAAGUAGCUUGCUAACCAACCACAUGGUUCCGGGUUCAGUCCCACUGCGUGGCACCUUGGGCAAGUGUCUUCUCCUAUAGCCCCGGGCCGACCAAUGCCUUGUGAAUGAAUUUGGUAGACGGAAACUGAAAGAAGCCUGUCGUGUGGUGCUAUUAAGUUAGACAUAGCCUGGGCCAAUAAUGGCCGAAACCUAUCAAAGUAUCAAAGUAUAUAUAUAUAUAUAUAUAUAUAUAUAUAUAUAUAUAUAUGUGUGUGUGUGUGUGUGUGUAUGUUUGUGUGUCUGUGUUUGUCCCCCUAGCAUUGCUUGACAACCGAUGCUGGUGUGUCUACGUCCCCGUCGCCUAGCGGUUCGGUAAAAGAGACCGAUAGAAUAAGUACUGGGCUUACAAAAGAAUAAGUCCUGGGGUCGAUUUGCUCGACUAAAGGCGGUGCUCCAGCAUGGUCGCAGUCAAAUGACUGAAACAAGUAAAAGAGUAAAAGAAAAGAAGAUAAAAGAUAUACUGACUCUGGUGUUUAUUGUGUGUGUGUAUAUAUAGUCUUGUCGAUUUUCCAACUGUUUGUAAACACUAAAUGUUCUUGCCUCAUAAACGUUUAUGUAAGGACGUACUUACGUAUGCAUGCAGUGCUUAGAUGUGCACAGGGCCUCGUUGACCGGGAAGCGGGACAUCUUCCUGCCCCUAUUCCUACAUUUUUUACUAUGAAUACCUGACUAGCCAAGUAAAGGGCUUCAUUUAUUCUAAAUUCGGCAUUGGAUCUUUUCGGUUUGACCGGCAGUUUUUGCUAGCGGUGUCAUAUGAAAUUGUCACCCAUAAUUAUGACUCUAGUGUCGAUCUAUUGCAUUUCAAUCUAUUUUAGGGUUAGGGAUGGGGGAAAGGGUAUCUUUUUUUCUUCACAAAUGUAAAUAAACUCAAUCUGUUUCUUAAACGAGGGACAUAUUCAUACGGCACAGAAUGUUGUUUUUUACCUUAAUAGACGUCAUUGAUUGGUUGAAAUUGCAGAAAUUGAAGAAAAAAACAACAAAUAUCUUACAAACUAUAGAAUUUUCUCAACAAAGCCAAGAGAAAAAGAUGUUUUAUAAACACAUUCUACCAGUAUACGAAGUUUAAAAGUGUUUAGUUACGUGGAAAUUAUGUUAAAAAACUGCCGGUCAAACAGAAAAGAUCCCACCUUUGUCCUAUGUACAUACGUAUAUAUACAUAUAUAUAUAUAUCUUUGCAACUUUAAUAUAUGUGUGUAUAUAUAUAUAUAUAUUAAACUUUUUAUACUUUUUGAUAGUUAUAUACAUUUAAUAAUUUUUUUAAAAAAUAAAAUAAAAUUUUAUAUAUAUAUAUAUAUAAAUUAUAAAUUAAUAAUUUUAAAUUUUUAACUUUAAAUUUAAAUUUUGAAUUUUAUAUUUUAUAUAUUUUGUAUAUUAUAUCAAUGAAUUUUAUUUCUAUGUUUUGGUUUAUGUUUUUCACUGUUUGAUUUGCCUAAUAGUGGUUCUAUCUCUAAUUUAAUAUAAAUAUAUAUAUAUAUAUAUUAAAGUUGCAAAAAUAUCUCAAAAACCCGUUCGUCGGGCAGUUGUGAUCAAGAAUGGGAUAAAAUUGUGAUGGCACCUGUAACAUAGGAUUUUCCACCUGGUUUUUGCUUUUAUAUACUUAGUCGCGUAGAUACGUAUAUAUAUCUAGGUGCAAACGUACUAAGUCGUAGGCUUCACCUUUUGCGUCCAUGGUAACCGAUAAUUCGCAAAGGGUCACACACUCGCGCGCGCGCAUUAUGAAAGAGGUCAUACGUCCGCACAGGAAACCGCUGCCAACAAAAUAAGGAAACUUUAUGGAUGUCACAAUUCUUAGUAAAUCAUUUUCCUGGACACAGCUGAACGAUUCCCAGCGCCUUUUUCAAUCGAUUUAUCGAAAAUAUUGGGAGUUCACGGGAUUGCAUUGUUUGGUUAAAAGCAGGCCAAGGCCGAAUACUACCGGUUUUGCUGUUUCAGUCUCCGACCAUGCUGGGGCACUGCUCUGAAGAAUUUUAGCCUAACGGAUGGACCCCCAGUACUUUUUUUUAUGCCUUGCACUCAUUCCUUACCUUUGCCGAACCGCUAAGUUACGGGGGGGGGGGACAUAAAGACAGACACACACACACACACGUAUAUAUACAUAUAUAUAUAUAUAUAAAUUAAAUUAGAGAUAAAACCACUAUUAGGCAAAUCAAACAGUGAAAAACAUAGAAAUAAAAUUAAUUGAUAUAAUAUACAAAAUAUAUAAAAUAUUUAAAAAAAUUUUUAUUAUUUAAAUUUAAAAUUAUUAAUUUAUAUUUAUAUUUAUAUAUAUAUAUAUAUAUAUAUAUAUAUAUUUUCUUGAGAACAUUUCUUGGUGGUGAGACCGUAGCGGAUCUAUUUCUAGCAUAUGGGUGUCCACAUGGUGGUUUCCCUCUAAUAUAUAUAUCAUACAUACAUACAUAUAUAUAUAUAUAUAUAUAUAUAUAUAUAUAUAUAUAUAUAUAUAUAUAUAUAUAUAUAUAUAUAUAUAUAUAUUUAUUAUAUAGAAGGAGCUUCUACAGGACUAGAACUGUUUCACUAGAACUUAUUUACUGUGGUUAACCCCGAAUCAACCCGGGACCUACAUAUAUAUAUAUAUAUAUAUAUAUAUAUAUAUAGAUGUAUAUAUAUAUAUAUAUAUAUAUGUAUGUAUGUAUGUAUGUAUGUAUGAUAUAUAUAUAUAUAUGUAUGUAUGUAUGUAUGUAUGAUAUAUAUAUAUAUAUAUGUAUGUAUGUAUGUAUGUAUGAUAUAUAUAUUAGAGGGAAACCACCAUGUGGACACCCAUAUGCUAGAAAUAGAUCCGCUACGGUCUCACCACCAAGUUUAUAUAUAUAAAAAUAUAAAAGUGGUUUUACUUAUAAUAAACUUUUUAAUACUUAAAAGGAAAAGAUCCCUUUUGGAUAGUUAUAUAUAAUUAUAUAUACAAAAAAAUAUAAAUAUAAAUAUGUGUGUGUGUGUGUGUGUGUUUCAGUUUCCAUACCGAAGCUUGGUGGGCCUGAGGCCAUGGUAGAAGACACCUUGCCCAAGGUGUCAUGCAGUUGGACUGAACCUGGAACCAUAUGGUUGGAAUGCAAAUUUCUUACCACACAGCUACGCCUGCGCAUAUAUAAUUUAUUUUGCACUUGUGUCAGUCAUUGGACUGUGGUCAGGCUGGAGCACCACCUUGAAGGGAUUGAGUCGAAGGAAUUAACUCCAGUUGUUUUUUUUGUUCUUUUUUUUUGUAAAGUCUGGUACAUAUUUUAUCAGUCUUAUUUCCGGCUUUUUGUGGCACCCUUAAAACCAGGAACUUUUCAGCACCCACUCAGAUAUAUAUAUAUAUAAGUUCCCAGUUUUGGGUAAAAGAAAAUACCAAAGGAUCAGUUAAUUAUAAUUUUAAUGAACAUAUAGGCACAGGAGUGGCUGUGUGGUAAUUAGCUUGCUAACCAACCACAUGGUUCCGGGUUCAGUCCCACUGCAUGGCACCUUGGGCAAAUGUCUUCUGCUAUAGCCCUGGGCCAACCAAUGCCUUGUGAGUGGAUUUGGUAGACAGAAACUCAAAGAAGCCUGUCGUAUAUAUGUAUAUAUAUAUAUGUGUGUGUUUGUGUUUGUGUGUCUGUGUUUGUCCCCCUAGCAUUGCUUGACAACCGAUGCUGGUGUGUUUACAUCCCCGUCACUUAGCGGUUCGGCAAAAAGAGACCGAUAGAAUAAGUACUGGGCUUACAAAGAAUAAGUCCCGGGUCGAUUUGCUUGACUAAAGGCGGUGCUCCAGCAUGGCCGCAGUCAAAUGACUGAAACAAGUAAAAGAGAGUAUAUAUAUAUAUAUGCAUCAUCAUCAUUUAACAUCCGUUGUCCAUUCCGGAAUGGGUUGGAUAUUUUGACUAGGGCUAGUAAGCUGAGGGGCUGCACUAGACUCCAAUGUGAUUUGGCAGGGUUUCUACGGCUGGAUGCCCUUUGUUGUUGUUUGUUCCUUCUCAAGCCACGCCUGGCUCAUAAGGGCCGGUUUCCUUGGCGUAUAGGUUCCCCACCUGGACGGGACGCUGAUCCGUCGCAGGUGAGCUGCAAGAUGCAGGAGGAAAGAGUGAGAGAAAGUUGUGGCGAAAGAGUCAGCAGAAGUUUCGCCAUUACCUUCUGCCGGAGCCGCAUGGAGCUUAGGUGUUUCGCUCAUAAACACACACAUUGCCCAGUCUGAGAUUAAAAUCAUCGAUCCCUCGACCGCGAGUCUGUUGCUCUAACCACUAGGCCAUGUGCCUCCACUAAAUGUUCCUUCUCGAGCCAUGCUAGGCUCAUAAGGGCAAAAGAGUCAGCUGAAUGACCAUAGAAAGUGCGAGCCCUCUAACUGAAAAAUUGUGGAUUUGUAUAAAGGACACACACACACACACACACAGACAGACAUUUUGCCAUUUAUAUUCUUACUCUUUUACUUGUUUCAGUCAUGUGACUGUGGCCAUGCUGGAGCACCGCCUUUAGUCGAGCAAAUCGACCCCGGGACUUAUUCUUUGUAAGCCUUGUACUUAUUUUAUCGGUCUCUUUUUUGCCGAACCGCUAAGUUACGGGGACGUAAACACACCAGCAUCGGUUGUCAAGUGAUGCUAGGGGGACAAACACAAACAUACAUGUACACACAUAUAUACAUAUAUACGACAGGCUUCUUUGAGUUUCCGUCUACCAAAUCCACUCACAAGGCUUUGGUCGGCACGAGGCUAUAGUAGAAGACACUUACCCAAGGUGUCACACAGUGGGACUGAACCCGGAACCAUGUGGUUGGUAAGCAAGCUACUUACCACACAGCCACUCCUGCACCUAUAUAUAGAGAUAUAUUUAUAAAUAUAUUUAUAGUCAAUUCAAAUAAACAAGGCACAGGAGUGGCUGUGUGGUAAGUAGCUUGCUAACCAACCACAUGGUUCCGGGUUCAGUCCCACUGCGUGGCAUCUUGGGCAAGUGUCUUCUGCUAUAGCCCCGGGCCGACCAAUGCCUUGUGAGUGGAUUUGGUAGACGUAAACUAAAAGAAGCCUGUUGUAUAUAUGUAUAUAUAUAUAUAUAUAUGUGUGUUUGUGUGUUUGUGUUUGUUCCCCUAGCAUUGCUUGACAACCGAUGCUGGUGUGUUUACGUCCCCGUCACUUAGCGGUUCGGCAAAAGAGACCGAUAGAAUAAGUACUGGGCUUACAAAAAGAAUAAGUCCCGGGGUCGAUUUGCUCGACUAAAGGCGGUGCUCCAGCAUGGCCGCAGUCAAAUGACUGAAACAAGGAAAAGAGUAAAAGAGAGAGAGAGAGAGAGAGAGAGAGAGAGAGUAAAUAAAAUAAAUGUACAACAAGAGGACAUGCACAAGAAAUGUAUUAGCUUGAUACUCAGUAAAAAGGCUGAGUUUAAUGUUUCAAGCAUAACUCUUCAUCGGCAAGGUGAAAGAGCAAAGUCCAAGGAAGUAAAAGAAAUCACCAACAGCAUAUGUAGUAACAUUGCUGAAAUAUACCUAUUUCUUUAUUACCCUCAAGGGGCUAAACAUAGAGGGGACAAACAAGGACAGACAUAGGUAUUAAGUCGAUUACAUCGACCCCAGUGCGUAACUGGUACUUUAUUUAUCGACCCCGAAAGGAUAAAAGGUAAAGUCGACCUCGGCAGAAUUUGAACUCAGAACAGACGAAAUACCGCUAAGCUAGGCACUUCGCUGCGCUAACGUUUCUGCCAGCUCUCUGCUGAAAUAUAUACACAUGCAAAUACACAGUCAGGUAUUUUAAGCCCAGGUCAUCUUUCAUUGAGUACAAUUUACUAAUAGUGCUAGACUUUAUAUCCAUAAAAGGCUUCUAAGAAUGUUUAAUCUGGGAAACCAAUGUUCACUUCAAUGGCCGGACCUGAUUGUCACUUCAUAAAUUUACCUCUCUUUUCUGUGACACCACCCUGUUAUUUAGCUUCCAGUCCACCCUUAAUAAAUAAUGUGAGCAAAGACUCCAGCUGUGAAUUGGCUGUUGGUAUUUUUUUAUUUCAAUUUUUUGAAUUUUAUUUUUUUUGUUUUUGUUGGCUAGAAAUAGCUGCCUAAUGUCCUUGAAGCCACACCCUACUGUCUUAUAAAUGUAUGUACGAGCCAAUCAGGGGGACUUCUACAUGAUAGCUAGACCACCAAAUGUCCUUGAAAUCACACCUUUUGUCUUAUUUCUCUCCCUCUCUCUCUCUCACUAAAUAUAUACAUAUAUAUAUAUAUAUAUAUAUAUAUAUAUACAUAUAUAUAUAUAUGUAUAUACAUAUAUAUAUAUAUGUGUGUGUGUAUAUAUAUAUAUAUAUAUAUAUACUUUAUUUAAAGCAGCAGAAAAUUCAACAAAACCUGUUACUCUGAGUUUCACAUUGCCAUUCGUCGGACAGUUUUUGCUAGAAUUUUUCUAGCAAAAACCGUCCAACGAACGGCAACGUGAAACUCAGAGUAACAAAUUUUGUUGAAUUUUCUGCUGCUUUAAAUAAAGCAGUGUGUGUGUGUGUGUGUGUAUAUAUAUAUAUAUAUAUGAUGUGUGGAGGCGCAAUGGUCCAGUGGUUAGGGCUGCGGACUGGUGGUUGUAGGAUCGCGGUUUCGAUUCCCAGACCGGGCGUUGUGAGUGUUUAUUGAGCGAAAACACCCAAAGCUCCCCGAGGCUCCGGCAGGGGGUGGUAGCGAUCCCUGCUGUACUCUUUCGCCACAACUUUCUCUCACUCUUUCUUCUGUUGGCCUGCUCGGUUAGCCAGUGGGUGUGGCAUCAUUUGAAGGCUAAAACAAUGUGAAGCGCAUUGUGACCAGCGAUGUGUAGCAACAUCUGAUACCCUUGUCGGUCACGGUGAUCACGGUAAUAUAUAUAAUGUAUGUAUGCGCUACAUGGUAGCUAGACCUAGUAGAAACAGCAGCCAAGUCUUUUUCAAAUCAUGCCCUGCUGUAUUUUGUGUGUGUAAUGAGCCUGCGAUGGAAACUUUUACAUAGCAGCUAGAGCUGCUAGAAAUAGCAGCUAAAUCUACUCAAAGCAUACCCUACUUUAUUAUGUAUAUAUGAGCCAAUGGGGUAGCUGGCGCAUCUAGAAAUAGCAGCCAAAUCUACCUCAAAGCACACCCUACUUUACUAUGUAUAUAUGAGCCAAUGGGGUAGCUGGAGCAGCUAGAAAUAGCAGCCAAAUCUACUCAAAGCACACCCUACUUUAUUAUGUAUAUAUGAGCCAAUGGGGUAGCUGGAGCAGCUAGAAAUAGCAGCCAAAUCUACCUCAAAGCAUACCCUACUUUAUUAUGUAUAUAGGAGCCAAUGGGGUAGCUGGAGCAGCUAGAAAUAGCAGCCAAAUCUACUCAAAGCACACCCUACUUUAUUAUGUAUAUAUGAGCCAAUGGGGUAGCUGGAGCAGCUAGAAAUAGCAGCCAAAUCUACCUCAAAGCACACCCUACUUUAUUAUGUAUAUAUGAGCCAAUGGGGUAGCUGGAGCAGCUAGAAAUAGCAGCCAAAUCUACCUCAAAGCACACCCUACUUUAUUAUGUAUAUAUGAGCCAAUGGGGUAGCUGGAGCAGCUAGAAAUAGCAGCCAAAUCUACCUCAAAGCACACCCUACUUUAUUAUGUAUAUAUGAGCCAAUGGGGUAGCUGGAGCAGCUAGAAAUAGCAGCCAAAUCUACCUCAAAGCACACCCUACUUUAUUAUGUAUAUAUGAGCCAAUGGGGUAGCUGGAGCAGCUAGAAAUAGCAGCCAAAUCUACUCAAAGCACACCCUACUUUAUUAUGUAUAUAUGAGCCAAUGGGGUAGCUGGAGCAGCUAGAAAUAGCAACAAAUCUACCUCAAAGCACACCCUACUUUAUUAUGUAUAUAUGAGCCAAUGGGGUAGCUGGAGCAGCUAGAAAUAGCAGCCAAAUCUACUCAAAGCAUACCCUACUUUAUUAUGUAUAUAUGAGCCAAUGGGGUAGCUGGAGCAGCUAGAAAUAGCAGCCAAAUCUACCUCAAAGCACACCCUACUUUAUUAUGUAUAUAUGAGCCAAUGGGGUAGCUGGAGCAGCUAGAAAUAGCAGCCGAAUCUACUCAAAGCAUACCCUACUUUAUUAUGUAUAUAUGAGCCAAUGGGGUAGCUGGAGCAGCUAGAAAUAGCAGCCAAAUCUACCUCAAAGCACACCCUACUUUAUUAUGUAUAUAUGAGCCAAUGGGGUAGCUGGAGCAGCUAGAAAUAGCAGCCAAAACUCCCUCAAAUCUAACUGUCUUGUAUAUGUAUAUGUGUUUAUCAUUCUUUGUAGUUGUUAAUCUCCACAUCAGUUCUUAUCCAACAGACCUCCCGACCAUGACCCUCUUGUCUUUUAUUCAGACAUAGUUUGUCUAAGGCGACAUCAUAUAAAAUGUGUUUUGUUGUUGUUUAGUCACAAGUCAACCUGAUACAGCAGACCUUCAAUGAAAGAUGUUUCACUUGUAACCAUCCUUUUUGUUCACCUGGAACUAUAGUGCAUUAGUGCGUAGUUUGAGGGAGAUUUGGCUGCUAUUUCUAACAGGUCUAGCUACCAUACUCAUUUACUCAUUUACUUGUUUCAGUCAUUUGACUGCGGCCAUGCUGGAGCACCGCCUUUAGUUGAGCAAAUCGACCCCGGGACUUAUUCUUUUUGUAAGCCCAGUACUUAUUCUAUCGGUCUCUUUUGCCAAACCACUAAGUGACGGGGACAUAAACACACCAGCAUCGGUUGUCAAGCAAUGCUAGGGGGACAAACACAGACACAUUAACACACACACACACACACACACACAUAUAUAUAUAUAUGCAUAUAUACGACAGGCUUCUUUCAGUUUCCGUCUACCAAAUCCACUCACAAGGCAUUGGUCAGCCCGGGGCUAUAGCAGAAGACACUUGCCCUAAAUGCCGCGCAGUGGGACUGAACCCUGAACCAUGUGGUUGGUAAGCAAGCUACUUACUACACAGCCACUCCCGCGCCUGUGUUUGCUUUAGAUGUAUGUUUUAGUAUGUAUUGCAAGAAGACACUUGCCCAAGGUGCCAUGCAGUGGGACUGAACCCGGAACCAUGUGGUUGGUAAGCAAGCUACUUACCACACAGCCCCAGAAGUAUAACCAGUUUAUUGAAUAUUAUAAAUUUUCAACAACAAAAUUUUAUGUGCACCCCUGUUGAAAACCACUGGGAUGGCAAAAGAAUAAGUGUCUUCUACCCUAGCCUCAAGCCGACCAAAGGCUUCUGGGUGGAUUUGGCAGACUGAAACUGAAAGAAGCUCAACGUGUAUAUGAUUGUGUUUGUGGGUAGGCGGACAAUCCAUCGACAAACAGUUGGCUAACAGACAACUUAAAGACAGGACAAUUGACCAAUUCCAUCAAUAAUAUAGGCGUACCCUUUGUAUAGAAGCUUCUGCCUUCUCGUUCCGUUUUGAUAAACUCCAUGAUCAAUACUUCCGCAUGUUGGCUUAUUGUCCAAUCGGGGAAUUGUCUACUCAUGAUGUUUGUGUAUCUGUGUUUGUCUCCCCCAUUGUUUGACGACCGAUGCUGGUGUGUUUAUGUCCCCGUAACUUAGCCGUUCAACAAUAAAAUAAGUACUAGGCUUACAAAGAAUAAGUACUGGGGUUGAUUUGUUUGACUAAAGGCGGUGCUCCAGCAUGGUGGCAGUCAAAUGACUGAAGCAAAUAAAUGAGUAAAAGUGUAUAUAUAUAUAUAUAUAUAUACUCCAUUCAAAAUGUGACCGUGUGUGUACCGUUGGCGAUUUUUUUCCCUCCGUCUUCCCUUCUCUGGAUCUUUCCUUUUCCUAUGUUUCCGACGAAGACCUCCGCUCGAAACGUAAAACCCUCCUUCUUCCCUUCCUUCUUGAGCAUCCAAUAAUACUAUAUUUGUUCCACGUCCUCGCGUUGUUGUGUUUUCAUGUUUGGAUUAACUUUAUAUAUAUAUAUAUAUAUAUAUAAUGUAUAUAUAAAUAUUGACUGUGUGGUAAGUAGCUUGCUUACCAACCACAUGGUUCCGGGUUCAGUCCCACUGCGUGGCACCUUGGGCAAGUGUCUUCUACUAAAGCCUCGGGCCGACCAAAGCCUUGUGAGUGGAUUUGGUAGACGGAAACUGAAAGAAGCCCAUCGUAUAUAUGUAUAUAUAUGUUUCUGUGUCUGUGUUUGUCUCCCCAACAUCGCUUGACAACCGAUGCUGGUGUGUUUACGUCCUCGUAACUUAGUGCUUCAGCUAAAGAAACCGAUAGAAUAAGUACUGGGCUUACAAAGAAUAAGUCCUGAGGAUUGAUUUCCUCGACUAAAGGCGGUGCUCCAGCAUGGCCGCAGUCAAAUGACUGAAACAAGUAAAAGAGUAUGUAUAUAUAGGUAUACAUAUAUAUAUAUAUAUAUAUAUAUAUAGGUAAAUGAACAGGUGUAUGUAUAAUGGAAUGGCUAUAUAUUUGAAUACAUAGGUAAAUUAACAAGUAAUUAUAAUGAGAUGACUGGACAGGUGUGUAUAUAAGCAGUUUAACAGGUGUGCAUGUAUGUGUUGGUGUGUAUAAUGGGAUGGCUAGACAAAUGGGUCAAUAGGCAAAUGAACAGGUGUAUGUGUGUAUAUAUAAUGGGAUGGCUAUAUAGGCAAAUUGACACUUGUGUAUAAUGGGAUAGCCUAAUAGAAGGCUAUCUCCCCAGCCGACCAGUUUUCAGUCAAACCGUCCAACCCAUGUCAGCAUGGAAAACGGACGUUAAAUGACGAUGAGGAUGACACAUAUAUACAUAUAUAUAUAUGUAUAUAUAUAUACAUACACAUACAUGUGUAGGUAAAUUAAUGGGUGUAUAUAUGUUUGUGUGUAUGUAUAUAACGCGAUGGCUAGGUUAACAAGUGCCUGUAUAAUGGGUUCACCUGAUAAACAAGUAUAUAUAUAUAUAUACAUUUAUAUAUAUUACAUAUCAUCAUCAUCGUUUAACGUCCGUUCUCCAUGCUAGCAUGGGUUGGACGGUUCAACUGGCAAUGUUUCUACAGCUGGAUGCCCAUUACAUAUAUGUAUGUAUAUAUAUAUAUAUAUUACAUAUAUAUAUAUAUAUAUAUAUUCAUAUAAAUACAGUGUACAUUCAAACACAUAAGAGGUAUCCGUCAUAGGAUUCCUUUCAUGCAAGAAGGAACAGCUAAAGUCCUAACCGCUAUUAGGGAUAAAAACUCAAAGGGAAUGAAAAAUAAAAUAAAAAUAGUUCAGGAGAUAGAUGGUAAAUGUUUUUAUUUUUCAUUCCCAUCGAGUUUUUAUCCCUAAUAGUGGUUUGGACUUUAGCUGUUCUUUCUAGCGUAAAAGGAAUCCUAUGACGGGGACCUCUUAUGUGUUUAAAUGUACUCUGUAUUUAUAUGAAUAAUAGUCUAUUGACUAAUUUUCCUACAUACUAGGUCACAGGUAGUAAAAAUUUCUAAAAUAUUUAUUGCCCUGAUAUUAAUUAUAUAUAUGUGUGUGUGUAUAUAUAUAUAGUCCAACCCAUGCUAGCAUGGAGAACGGACGUUAAACGAUGAUGAUAUAUAUAUAUAUAUAUAUAUGGCGACUGAAGAAGGGGAAUUUUCCUUGUGUUAUUUGUCCUGUACUCUAUUUUUUUGUUGUUUAAGAAAAAUGUCCAGUUCCUUGGUUUUGUGUUUAUGUUUUUGUUUCUCAUUGUGUUUGACGUUUUUUUGGUGUCCUGUACCCAUAUAUGCAUGUAUAUAUACAUGUAGAGGUAGGUACGUACAUAUAUGUAUGUAUAUAUGCAUAUGUUAUAUUUAUUAAUUUAUAUAUAGGUGGAGGCGCAAUGGCCUAGCGGUUAGGGCAGCGGACUUGCGGUCGGAGGAUCGCGGUUUCGAUUCCCAGACCGGGCGUUGUGUGUGUUUAUUGAUAUCCACGAGGCUCCGGCAUAUAUACUCUUUCACCACUCUAAAAGGCGGUGCUCCAGCAUAUCAAAUGACUAUAUAUAUAUAAAAAAAAAAAAAAAAAAAAAAAAAUAUAUAUCAGGUCAUCCCAUAAGUUCUAUCCGAAUUUUGAAUAAAGAAAACAAGUGAUCAAAUGUUAUAUUUAAUUGAAAUUUAAUCAUCAGUGUACUUUCCCUGAUUAUCUAUGACUUCCUUCCAUCUAUUUACAAGCUUUUUAAUCCCAUCAAUGUAAAACUCAUUUGGUUUGAAAGCGAACAACUCUGAAAUGUCAGUUUCGACCUCCUUGUGGCGUGUGAAAGUUAUGUCCCCCAAAUGAUUCUGUAAACUAUGAAACAAAUGGUAUUCUAAAGGAGCAAGGUCAGGAGAAUAAGGUGGAUGAGGAAUUUUUUCCCAACCCAGCUCUUCACUCUUCUGUGAUGUGAUCUUUGCAGUGUGGGGUCGCGCAUUGUCCUGAUGAAACAUCACUCCUUUUCGAUUCACUAAAGCGGGUCUUUUUUUUCUUCAAAGCUUGGUUCAAACGCUCUAAUUGCUGACAGUAGACUUGAGCAUUGAUUGUUGCAUUAGGUGGUAACAAUUCAAAGUGAAUUACUUUUUUGCAAUCCCACCAGAUAGAGAGAAGAACCUUUUUCCAUGAAGUUUCCUUUUUGAUUGUGGUUGAGCUUUUUCCCUUUUAACAAGCCACUGUUUACGACAUUUAACAUUUCAAUAGAAAAUCCAUUUUUCAUCACCAGUCACAAGUCUAUCCAAAAAGGGUAAAAUGAGUUUGCGAGAAUGGAGAGAAGUACAGGUGUCAACUUGGGAUUUGUGGUUGCUUUCGGAUAAUUCAUGAGGCACCCAUUUUCCAAGUUUAAGAACCUUUCCAAGUUGUUGAAGAUGUUGAUGAACAGUUGUAUGGUUUGAACUAAGUUUUAUUGCCAAUUCUUCAACUGAUAAUGCAGGAUUUUCUUCAAGUAAUGCCACAACGAGCUUAUCAUCAAACUCAACUGGACGUCCUGUUCGAUCUUCGUCAAGGCUGAAAUCUCCGCUUCUGAAUUUUGAAAACCAUCUUCUGCAAGUUGUUUCAUUCAAGUAUUCUUUCCCAUAAAUUGAGUGGUUGUUUUGAGUCGCUUCGGCUGCGAAGUUUCCUUUUUUGUACUCAUAAAGCAUUAUGUACCUCAAAUGCUCUUUGGUUACUUCCAUGUUAGAAAGGGUUUUAAUCAAAACAAUUUUACUUCUAUUAUUCUGUAAAAUAAUAUUUAAUUAGUUUAAAUAUACUCAAAUGCAUAAAAAUAAUUUUAAAUUUCAUUAGACAUUCUAAAAUACUAUUAAAUUUCAUUCAAUUUUUAAAAAUAGUAAAAUCUGUCAGAACUUAUGGGACGACCUGAUAUAUAUAUAUAUAUAUAUAUAUAUAUCAAAUAAAUUGGGUGUCUUUUCUAGCCCAUAGUUUGUUAUCAAACUCUUAUUCUAUCUAUCUAUUUGCUUAGCCAGCCAUAUAUAUAUAUAGCAACACAUUUUCCUAUAUAUAUAUAUAUGUGUGUGUGUGUGUGUGUAUGUGUGUAUAUAUAUGUAUAUAUAUAUGUGUGUGUGUGUAUAUAUGUGUGUGUGUAUAUAUAUAUAUAUAUAUACAUACAUAUAUACAUACAUAUAUAUAUACAUAUAUAUAUAUACAUAUAUAUAUAUACAUAUAUAUAUAUAUACAUACAUAUACACAUACAUAUAUAUAUAUACAUAUAUAUAUAUACAUAUAUAUAUAUAUAUACAUAUAUACAUACAUAUAUACAUACAUAUAUAUAUAUAUACAUAUAUAUAUAUAUACAUAUAUAUAUAUAUAUAUAUAUAUAUACACAUAUAUAUACACACACACACAUAUAUAUAUACAUAUAUACACACACACACACACACACACACACAUAUAUAUAUAUAUAGGAAAAUGUGUUGCUAUAUAUAUAUAUGGCUGGCUAAGCAAAUAGAUAGAUAGAAAGAAAACAGAUGAAGAGAGAGAGAGAGAGAGAGAGAGAAGGGGACCAAGGAGUUACCGACAUAAAUAGAUGUUGCCAUAGUUACAGUGACGUUGCUUCUUAAAGUACAUUUGACCUAAUGACAUGGAUGUUCUUAAAACCAGCUUCACCUUUCGUCCUUUCACUCAUCCCCUCUCUUUCCCCCUCUCACCUUCUCCCUCGUUUUCUCUCUUUCUUUCUUUUUCUUGUCCUCUUCUUCAUCUUCUCUAUCUUGUGAAUGCUGCUGAUGCUGAUGAUGAUGAUGAUCUUCUUUACCCCAACCACCACCACCACCACCACCACCACACACACUUUCGCUCUCUUCAAAUUAUGUCAGUCCUGUAAUCGAUAUUGUGAUGAAGAUUAUGAUUGUAGCAGUGACGUUGCUGUGUUGUAGCCCUAGGCCAGUCCUCCACCACUAGACCUAUGAUCAAAGAUGUUCCAGACGUAACCAUUCUGUCUGUUUUUGAUUCAGACAUAGUGUAUCUAGGACUACAUUAUCCAAUGUGUCCUUCCUUGUUGGUCCAUUUAACCCUGGGCCAUUCCUGAUCCAGUAGACCUAUGAUCAAAGAUGUUCCAGAUGUGACCAUCCUGUCUUAUAUUCAGACAUAGUGUAUCUAGGACUACAUUAUCCAAUGUGUCCUUCCUUGUUGGUCCAUUUAACCCUGUGCCAUUCCUGAUCCAGCAGACCUAUGAUCAAAGAUGUUCCAGAUGUAACCUAUCUGUCUAUUUUUCAGACAUAGUGUAUCUAGGACUACAUUAUCCAAUGUGUCCUUCCUUGUUGGGCCAUUCCUGAUCCAGCAGACCUAUGAUCAAAGAUGUUCCAGAUGUGACCAUCCUGUCUUAUAUUCAGACAUAGUGUAUCUAGGACUACAUUAUCUAAUGUGUUCCGCCUUCCCCGUUUUUCUUUAAUCCCAGACCAGCCUUAAUCCAACAGAUUUAAGAUACAGGUGUUCCAGCUGUGAUCCAUCUUGGCUUGUGUCCAGACUACAUUAUGUAACGUCUCCUUCCUCCCUUCCUUGUUUAGCCCUAGGUCAGUCAUAAACCAGCUGCCCUAUGAUGAAGAAUGUUCCUACAGUGACCUUCCUAGCUUGUAUCUAGAACUACAUUAUCUAAUGUAUCCUUCCUUGUUCUUUAAUCCCAAGUUGGCCCUAAUCCAACAGAUUUAUAAUCAUAGAUGUUCCUUCUGUAACUAUACAGUCUUGUAUUUAAAUACUGGAGUCAGCAUAAUCAACUUAUCCUCUCCCCAAAAAUUUCGGGCCUUGUGCCUAUAGUAGAAAGGAUUAUUAUUAUUAUUAUUUUUAUUAUUAUUACUAGCAGUAUUGCCCGGUGUUGCUCGGGUUUGUUUCGACCCUUUAGAAUUGGAAUUUUUGAAAAGAAAAAAUUUUGCAUUAUGUAGCUUGUUAUUCUCUUCAAGUGAACAUUUUUCUGGUUGAAAUACACCGGAAAGUGGCGACACAGCAGUGAAAAAAUCGUAAAAAAUCGGGAUUUUCAUAGAAAAAAGCACCUUUUUGAUGUAAAUAAUUUUUGUUGUUAACAUGGUCCGAUUUGAAUUUUAUGUUCUACGGAAGGAAGAGUAACCCUUCUUCUAUCAUACUCUCAAUUUUGGUCAACUUGCGCCGCAGGGUCUCGGAGGAGAUACUGUUAGUUGAAGGGUACCAAACCUGCCGCACACAGACAACUUCAGCUUUAUAUAGAGAGAGAUAACACACACACAUUAAUACACAUACAUACACACACACACACACACAUGUAUGUAUGGAUGUAUGUAUGUAUAUAUGUACAUCUGUCCACUUCUUGCCAUAUUUUUAUCCUUCACUUCCUACACACACACACACACACACAAACACGCAUGCACACAUACACACACACACCUUCUUAGCUUACAAUUUCUUUCUUUCGGAUGCCUUUUAUCAUAAGAGAUUAUUAUUUCAGCCCUCAUGCCUUUAGUUGAAAGGAUCAAUAUUAUUAUUAUUAUCAUCAUUAUUAUUAUUAUUAUUACUAUUAUUAUUAUUAUUAUUAUUAUUAUUAUUAUUAAUUAUUAUUAUUAAUUAUUAUUACUACUAUUAUUAUUAUUACUACUACUAUUAUUACUACUACUAUUAUCGUUAUUAUUAUUAUUAUUAUUACUACUACUACUAUUACUGUUAUUAUUAUUAUUAUCCAAUUUCAUUCUUUUUUUUCUCUCUCUCUCUUUUCAGGUGUUAUCCCACCCCUAUUUUCCACCUCUCCAGUAUUCACACACCCCUUCUGCACACAUACACACGCAGCUGGCCGCCGAUUCAAUUCAAACCCCACUGAAACAGGGCAAAAAAAGAUAGAAAGAAAGGAAGAAAGAAAGAAAAGGAAUGUCUCCAAACCCAACGAUGAAAGGGGCUACUACAAUGACAACAACUAAGAAGACUAACACGAUGACACUAACAACAACAACAACAACAAUUCCAAGGACAUCUUGUUCCACCGCCGUCUUUUACGCUAGCACCGUUGCCAAUGAUGUUGACCGCAGAAGAAUCCAUCUUCACUUCCACCAACUCAAGGACAAGAUCCGUUUAGCAACGCUCGUCCAACCAACGACCACUGUGCCUCUGUUGCUGGUCUAAGAACUCAUUGAUUCCGCUUCACAAUAACUAAAUAUUAUUAUCAUAUUAUUAUCAUCAUUAUUAUUAUUAUUAUUAUUAUUAUUAUUAUUAUUCCCGUUCAUAUAUACGGCCACACGGACUGAGCUGAAUCUUCAUUCCUCCCCCCAAAUUUUUUUUUUUCAAAACAUUGGGUCACACACUUUAACAUCACAUUCUUACACACACACACACACAUA
rnacentral:lncRNA from 1 species